CCCUAUGUUUAUAUUCUAUUAAAAAAGCGAAGAUGUUAAAUGUUGUCCCAACUGGCUCGCAUUAUCUAUAAAUCAUUCUAUUACCAUAUUCUUCGAAUUUUCUUCCUUUUAUCUUCCCAUAACAUAACCAACAUAGAAUCGCAGUUCCAUGUAGGUCAGAAAUAUUAAUUGGUCAUUGAUUGAUAUUAGCUAUCUGUGCAGGC
rnacentral:lncRNA from 1 species